AGAUGCAGCAGCAUCCCCGGCGGCGGCGGCGGCGGGGCGGCGGCGGCUGGGGACGGUAGGGUAGGCGGUACUGCUGGGCCUUGGUUGGCGGGAAGGUGGGUCGCGCCCCGUUGGCUGUGGCGGCGCCGCCGUUGGCGGUGCCAUUACCGUUGGCGAGUCGGGGAGGGUUGGAGUUGGGUUGCCUCGACGCCUCCAUUGCCAACGACGUCUCUCUCUCUCUCUCUCUCUCCGUGUGACACGCACAAUGAGACGCACCGCUGAAGUGGUAGUAGGAGAAUAAUUAGGGGGUGGCGAACCGCCAUGGGUAACCGGAAUUGUGGUGGCGAACCGCGUGGGACGUGUCGCCAGUUGGUUUAGUGGUCAAUUGGUGACAGAGAUGGACGGAUAAAUAGAUAUACUUUUGUGAUAGUAGAACAAAAAUCCAACCAAUGGGAAGGACAUGACAAUUUUUCAUAAUUUUCACGGCGAAGCAACAUCCGUGUGGUAGCACCGCCACGGGUAGCACUUCUAAACUCCCAACUCCUUAUUUGAUGUAAUAGAUUAAGAUUGUCUCAUCAAAACGAUAAACACAGAAACACAGGAUGCUUGUCCGGUCGCGGCAUCAGCAGCUACU
rnacentral:lncRNA from 1 species